AAGGCAUUUGUGUAUUUAAAAUCAUAGGCUAUAAUACAUGUGUCUAUUUGCCUUAUCCUGUGAUUAGAGUGUGACAAUUAUGUUUCCAGAGUAAAGUAGAAUACUUAAAAGUAAAAGAGGUUGAUUUCUAGCUACUUCUAAAACACUUAAAUAUAUAAUGUUUUCUUUAGUUCAUGAAAUAUCAGUGGUACUUUUCUAAUGAUUGCCAUUAAUACUAAAUUUUGAAAGUGCACUGACAUCUCACAGAAAUUAAACAGUCAUUGCCCUUGCCUUAGAUACAAACUUCAAACGUAAUGGGUGAACAUCACCCACCUUUUAAGGCUUGCGAGUCAUCAGUGCUCUGCUGUGGAUACAACAGACUUUAAGCUGUAAUGUGUGGUGUGGUUACUACAAAUCCAGGUCAGAUCUCACUGCGGCAAAUACUCAGGGUAUGUCUGUUGCCCUGUGGUGUGGGAGUUUAACAGUAUCUAUAUUGUUUGGUAUAAAAAAAAAGAAAAGAAAAACCAUCAGCUGAGCAUUAUAACCCUUUUCCUCUGCCGUGAUUUACACUGGGAUGUUUUGGUUCCAUUGUGAUUUGACUUAUAUCGCCAAGAGAGAUGAAGCCAGAAAACGUGAAGACAUGUUUGUAGGCUGAACACGUUUCUAUCCACCAUACUUUACUUUAGGUUUUUUCCUAAUCAAGUCACCAAAAGGACAAAAUGUUAUGAAAAGAGACCAGGAAACCUACUCUUUAAAAAUCUUGAUUGAUUUCAAGAAAAAGAAAAUCUUGAUUGAUGCUUGAAACGAAGGUUUUCUCCAAGCUUGGCUGCCAAGAGGUACAGGAAUGCUCUGAUCUCCAGCAACAUUGAGUCAUAUUUAAACUUUGACUGUAUUUUUUGAGUUUGAUAAGCAGUUGAUCAGCAGCAGUAGGCAUUUGGAAAAAGUCUUCCCCAGCAACUCCUGGCAGCUUGACUUGCUGGGCUCACUGCUCCCAUCUCCAAAAUAGCAGCUCCUACCUGGCAUUACAUUGUCUAUGUUAACACACACCUCCAUUCUCGAGUGUAGGCACCAUGGUGGCCGAAGUAGGGCUCCUGCAUCAGUGCUUCUUCGGUGCUGGCGCUGGUCCCUAGUCCACAGUGAGAAACUCAGAGAGUGUGCUGGAUGCUGAGCCUCCCACAUGCUGAUUUACCUGCUGCCCAACUGGCCUGUUGUGGGUUGAGUUGUGUCCCCAUUCCCAAAAAUGCAUGUAGAAGUCCUUACCUCCAGGACGUUAGAAUGUGAUCUUAUUCGAACAUGAAGGUCAUUCAGAUACAAUGAAUUAAGUAGGUAGGAUAAAGUCAUACUGACACAGGAGGAUGGGGCCCUAAUCCAAUGUGACUGGCGUCAUUAUCCCGAGGAGAAAUUUGAGCACAGACACACAGGCAGGGGGAAUGCCAUGAGAACACAAAGGCAGAGAUAGGGUGAUGUGUCAACCAGCCAAGAAAGCCAGAAGUUACCAGCAAACCACCAGAAGCUAGGAGAGAGGCACCAAACAGAUUCUCCCUGUGUUCCCAGAAGAAACUACACCUGCUGACCUUGAUCUCAGCCUUCUAGCUGCCAGGACUGUGAGACAACAAAUUUCUGUUAUUCAAGCCACCCAGUUUGUGGCUCUUUGUUAUGGCAGCCCUAGCAAAUGAAUACAUAGCCUCUAUCCUAGAAAAGAAGUAGGAGAAUGACAAGGUUAUUAUUAUCGGUUCAUAAGAACAGAAAUGACAGCUUUCUAACAGGGCAAAAUUAAUCAUUUUUAGAUUAUUCACUUUAUAGCCUUCUGAUUCUUGUAAUUGCCAUAUGUGGUAAUAGAAAGUGGAGUGAGAAAAGGUCUGAUGGAAAUGUGUUCUUAAAUGAGUGAUGUAUAUUACACUGAUGGAUGGUUGAUGGAUAUAUUUGAGAGAAUGAGGCCCUGUUAUAGUAAAACAGGCUCAGAGUUAUACAUAAUCUAAACAUAUUGGUGCCCAGGGCCCAAUACAUAAAGCUUCUGCUUUGAUAUUAAACUGAUGCAUGUGUUAUAAAGACGCUAAAGACAAAUGUGCACAAAUAAUCACGGAAUCGUUUUCUAUUAGUAAAGGGGAGAUGUAUGAACUCGAAUAUUUUGCUCCCACGUAACUGCAAUCACAAGUGAAUGCGAAAUAUCAAUACUGUUGGGAGGGGAAAUUGACAAGAGAAUAAUACCCUCUGUUCUGGAGGCUCAGGGAAGGGAUGGAAAGAGCAUGAGUUUUAAAGUCAGAAAGAGCUGGGUUCUGGUCCCAGUUCUUCUUCCCAGCAAGUCAUUUAACCCUCUACGAUUCUGUUUCCUAACCUGGAAAAUGGGGAUAAUAUCAUCUCCCCAGAGAACUGAGCUGAUGCUCAAAUGAGAUAAUAUUGCUGCAGGAGUUCCCAUCAUGACUCAGUGGUUGGCGAACCCGACUAGCAUCCAUGAGGACUCGGGUUCAAUUCCUGGCCUUGCUCGGCGGGUCAAGGAUCAGGUGUGGCAGGUGUAGGUCGCAGAUGCAGCUCAGAUCCUGCAUUGCUGUGGCUGUGGUGUAGGCCGAUGGCUACAGCUCUGAUUCAGCCCCUAACCUGGGAACCUCCAUGUGCCAGGAGUGCAGCCCUG
rnacentral:lncRNA from 1 species